rnacentral:piRNA from 1 species
UAACAAAGAAGAAGAGGGGCUGGCACA